UCCGUAGGUGGAUAAUUAAGUUAGGGGUGAAAGUCUGCAGCUCAACUGUAGAAUUGCCCUUAAUACUGGUUAUCUUGAAUUAUUGUGAAGUGGUUAGAAUAUGUAGUGUAGCGGUGAAAUGCAUAGAUAUUACAUAGAAUACCAAUUGCGAAGGCAGAUCACUAACAAUAUAUUGACACUGAUGGACGAAAGCGUGGGGAGCAAACCGGAUUAGAGACCCGAGUAGUCC
rnacentral:rRNA from 1 species